UACAGAGACUGCAAGCGUUAUUCGGAUUCACUGGGCGUAAAGGGUGCGCAGGCGGCCGGGUGUGUCAGAUGUGAAAUCCCGAGGCUCAACCUCGGAACUGCGUCUGAAACUACUCGGCUAGAGUACUGGAGAGGGUAACGGAAUUCACGGUGUAGCAGUGAAAUGCGUAGAUAUCGUGAGGAACACCAGAGGCGAAGGCGGUUACCUGGACAGUUACUGACGCUCAGGCACGAAAGCAUGGGGAGCAAAA
rnacentral:rRNA from 1 species